UGCAACGUGUAGAGUGCAAAAUAGUCACUGGCUUGCAUGUAAGCGCGUAAGGAUGUGCGUGUGUUUUAGCAGUAGUGCUCCUUACAGAGGGAUGCUGGUGUCACAGCAGGGUACAGGCAGAUGAUAAUUGAGAGAUCACUGAUACAGUGAGAUGCAGACAAGCCCACCCACUUUCGGCACAGUCAUAAUUUGAUACCAGACCACAGAGCACAUCCACAUACUGGAACAGUAUCCUAGCAGGGUAUAUGACAUCAUUAUUUCUGCCGAGAAGCCCACAAAUCAUUGCUUCCACUGACAUGCACUAGGCCCCCUGGGACAGAGAGCAGGUGUGACCUGGAAGUGCAUGCAUGCAGAGUGGGAGGAGCCAGGUGUGCCAUGGUUGCAGAAUAAAGGGGUCCAGCUGCUCUGCAAAGUUUGAUGACCACCUGAAGCUUGAUAGCAGAAACUGUGGUACAUCUUUCAACUGGAGACAUGGCUUCUUCCUGAGAGAGAUCUGGUGACUGCUGAACUCAACAAAUUGUAUAAUCACAGUUUAGAACAAAAUUUGACUGAAUCCCAACCUAUGCAUUCCCUUGCUUUACAUGGGCAACACUUGGCCGAAUUGUACAUUAUGCCAGACAUAAUGAGGAGCUCAGACCUAGUGUUUCACAAGAGGAGCCAUUAAUCACUUCACCUCAGAUUAGACAGGAAACAGUUGCCUCGCUAUUAUGUGGUCCCAGAACUUUCUCUAUCUCAGAGACAACAGCAAAGCAUCCAGGCUCUCGCCUGACAGGAAGUGGGCCUGCAGGGGUAAUCAGUCACCAACGGAUGGCUCCUAGAGCAGUGGGGGACGAAACAAUAAAAUUCAUGGGUCCUCUUGCUCCAAGGAGCCACCAAACUCUGGCCCAGGGACCCCUGGGAGUCCAUGGAAAAGUGCUAGGGACUCC